CGUCAGUGCUUGAGUUUUAUCUUGAUUAAGUUUAUAGUGGGAAACUAAGCCGAAGUCGGUAAGGGUGUUCAUGAGGUGUGGCAAGGACCUCUCUGGGUCUGUCAAUGACACCAAAACGUCAUCGGCAAACAAUGCCAGUUUGUGUUCCUGGCCUGUCACUAUUACUCCUCUUAUGUCAGGACUCAUACGAAUCUUUAGCGCCAGAG